ensembl:lncRNA
GAUAAAGGAGAAAAUGUGGCUUUUCUGACCUUUAAAAGAUUAGGAUUUUUAAAUGGAAACAGGAAAUAAUGUUGAAGGUGCAUGACUAAAGGGGACAUUUAAAUGGCCAAUAAAAGGUGCAUGAAGUUACCAGGAAAAUGUGAAUAAAAAUCAUAAUGAGAUACCACUUAACUGGAACAAAACUGCAAAGGACAAAUGAUAACUGUAUUUUGCAUAGAAAAUGAGGCAACUAGAAACCAUCUUUAAAAUGAUGUGAAUUGGGCUGGUGGAGUGGCUCAAGUGGUAGAGUGCCUGCCUAGCAUGCAUGAGCCCUGAGUUCAAAUCCAGUACCACCAAAAAAAAAAUUAAAAUGAUGUGAAUUAAGUUGUUAAAACAACUUGGAAAAUUAAAAAAAAGAUUAGAGUUCUUAAGCUCUAAAUAAAAAGCUAAGGGGUGACAAAAGAAUCUUUAAAAUUCUGAAGGAUUUGAACAGGAUUAUCAGAAUUAUUGUUAAGAAUACUAAAAAGGAGAGAUUUUCCCUGAAACUAGAAAUAUUCAGUUGUAGAGAACAAAAGGCAUCUCCUGGCUCCUUCAUAAAAGUUCUGAUGAAUUUGUUUCUUAAUAUAUGCCUUCUUAAGUUCUGCAGCUUUUUGUUUUCUUUAAUUUUAGGAAGAUCCUGCCUUGAUUCGUUGGACCUAUGCAAGAUCAGCAAACAUCUAUCCGAAUUUCAGACCCACUCCCAAGAACUCACUCCUGGGGGUUUUGUUUGGAAUUGGACCCCUUGUCUUUUUGUAUUAUGUUUUCAAAACUGAUAGGGAGAGAAAGGAAAAACUUAUCCAGGAAGGAAAAUUGGACCGAACACUUUCUAUCUCAUAUUAAGUCUGGCAAGGAUGACUGUGUUCUUGCCUGAAUAAAUCUUCUAUUAAUCACUAAAAGUUUCUCUUACUUUCAUUACUUUAAUUCAGCGUUAAAACUUACCAGUACCCUAACAACAGAGGUGCAGAAGUGGCCUGUAUUUGGAAUCACUACCAUCAGAAUAAUGGUCAACAUUUGCUGGAUAUUGUUGAGUCCCUUUUUUCUAAGAGCUCACAGUUUAAUGAAAAAAAAAAUUGUUUAUUCAUUAAAUCAGUCAUUCAACAAAUGCAUGUUAACUGAGCCAAGUAUUGUCUUAUUUGCUGAAGAUAUAAGUUGGUGAGACAGACUUAGUGUGCACACACUCUUAACUUUAUUGAGCAAGUAUUAUUUGAGUGCUUAUUAUGCAUCUGGUACUAUUUAGUACUUAAGGUCUUGUCUGGCCAUAGGCACAUUGGUAAACACAGUAGGAGAGUAACAAUGUGAAAAAUACAACAGGUUCAGGAAGAUUAUGCCAAUACUGAUGAGGAAGCAGUUCUGUUUGAGAAGUUUUAAGGCGAUGGUAUUUAUGAUUUAGCCUCUGAAAUUCACAAGGCUGACAGGUCAAACUGGAACCUGAAAGGGCAAGGCAUGUUGGAUGUGUCUGGCUUGGAGGCCUCUGUGGAGUAAGAAAACAGAGGGUGAAGGUCAUGCUGAGGAACAGAAGUAUAAUGGCUACGAGCAUGGGCUUUGGAGGUCAGAUCUGGGCUAAAGACUAGCUCAGAUUUAGCAGUUAGAAUCUCAAG